CGGCGGACGGGUGAGUAACACGUGGGUAACCUACCUAUAAGACUGGGACAACUUCGGGAAACCGGAGCUAAUACCGGAUAAGAUAUCGAACCGCAUGGUUCGAUAGUGAAAGANGGUUUUGCUAUCACUUAUAGAUGGACCCGCGCCGUAUUAGCUAGUUGGUGAGGUAACGGCUCACCAAGGCAACGAUACGUAGCCGACCUGAGAGGGUGAUCGGCCACACUGGAACUGAGACACGGUCCAGACUCCUACGGGAGGCAGCAGAC
rnacentral:rRNA from 1 species